GCCCAUAUCAUAAUUGGGAUCUUCUACUUUGUGGGGUUUGGGCUGUUCUGUUUGGAGACGCUGCUGAGCAUUGCAGUUCUUCAGAGAGUGUACAUGUACUUCAGAGGGAACAAGUGAUGCCAGCCAUGAUUGAAAACUACAUUUGUC